UGGAGAGCAGAUGGUGUUGCUUCGAUGCCGCGGGUAGUCAGAAAAGGUGUGCCAAAAUGUGGAGGCGUGUGCGGUGAUACAUACCGUGACCUCCUGACCCCUAUCAUGUUGAACCCAGGCCUGACCCCUCUACCCAGCAAGAUAUCACCUGCACCAAGGAUCAUUGAAAACCUGACGUUAGUCUGAGCAUCGGAUCCACCUGUGUGCCCUUGCACUGUGAUGAAGAACCAUGGGGCUCUAAGACAUAGACCAAGAGACAGUCUUCCCAAUACCGGUCAGCCUCAUACCUUCGACCCUCAGAGCUUCAUACCUUCGACCCUCCAUCUGCAAUGUUUCUACAGCUCAGUACAGACAUAGGACUUUCUGUGUGGAGUUGCAUGUUCUCCUUGUGUCUGCGUGAGUUCUCUAUGAGUACUCUGGCUUCCUCCCACAGUCCAAAGACAGGA